GAUGAAGAACGUAGCGAAAUGCGAUAAGUAAUGUGAAUUGCAGAAUUCAGUGAAUCAUCGAAUCUUUGAACGCACAUUGCGCCCCUUGGUAUUCCGAGGGGCAUGCCUGUUCGAGCGUCAUUAAAACCCCUCAAGCUCAGCUUGGUGUUGGGGCCUGCUGCACUGGCAGCCCUUAAAAUCAGUGGCGGCGCCAUCUGGCUCUAAGCGUAGUAAUUCUUCUCGCUAUGGAGUCCUGGUGGAUGCUUGCCAUCAACCCCCAAUUUUUCUAUGGUUGACCUCGGAUCAGGUAGGGAUACCCGCUGAACUUAAGCAUAUCAAUAAGCGGAGGA
rnacentral:misc_RNA from 1 species